UCUCAGCUUGCGUUAAGGAUUGAAACGGCAUCCUUUUUUUCUUUUUUGGAAAAAAGAUAUAGUGGAAAGCCUGUUAAAAC
rfam:Polaribacter sp. Hel1_33_78 genome assembly, chromosome: I